UGCCUUAUAGCUCAAUGGUUAUAGUCGAGCGUCUGUCCGGUUAUCAGAAGGUUACGUGGUUCAAUUCCCGUUAGGGCUC
rnacentral:tRNA from 1 species